GACGAACGCUGGCGGCGUGCUUAACACAUGCAAGUCGAGCGGAGCGGCGAACGGGUGAGUAACGCGUGAGUAACUGCCCCCCUCUCUGGGAUAACAGUUGGAAACGGCUGCUAAUACCGGAUAGUGGGGGAUGACUCGGGUCCUAUCCGCUUGUUGGUCGGGUAGUGGCCUACCAAGGCGACGACGGGUACCCGGCCUGAGAGGUGGACCAGGCACAUUGGGCUGAGGUACGGGCCAAACGCCUACGGGGGGCAGCAGUGGGGAGUAUUGCACAAUGGGGGAAACCCUGAUGCAGCAACGCCGCGUGCGGGAUGACGGCCUUCGGGUUGUAAACCGCGUUCAGCCAUGACGCGGUAGUGGCAGAAGAAGCACCGGCUAACUACGUGCCAGCAGCCGCGGUAAUUC
rnacentral:rRNA from 1 species